GACCAUAGCUUUUCAAGAAGCUCUCUUCUUCAAUUCACGAGUGAAAAAGCAAGUUCUUCUAUAUUGCUGCUGACCACCUAUGGGCUUCGAUUGGACCUGGACAACUCCAAACCUUUCUCCGAAUAGGAAUGACAUAGUCCUGAACGAGGAUCGAGAGGCAUACGAGAAGCUUUUUAAAGUCCAGAUCUCUGCACAUCAGGAGCUGCUUAAGGAGUAGUCCCUUU
rnacentral:lncRNA from 1 species